UCAGCGUUACUUCAUUUCUCCACGUUUCUGCAACUGUUGCUUUCAUUUUUUGGGGAAACGUAAGACGCCUAACUUUUCUCUAACCUAACACCUCUUCCACUCCUCCAACAAAUUAUCCAACCCACACGAAUCCAAUCUCCACAAACCUAAAUAUCUUAAAAAUCCUCCCAAAAUCACAAGCCAAUUUAAUAUUUGCUAGCACAUGAAACUAGCAUCACAUAAGUUUUUGAGUUUAGGAUUUCCGUGAAUAGUGAUUUCGUCACUAUUCAUCCGACAUUUUUACCGAAAUCCGGCGCUGGAUUGAAGCAAUUUUGGUAUCAAAAGAAGCGUCUGAUCUUUGCACACAAUCCCUAUUUGUUUUUGCUCUCAAACUCAUAAUCAAUUUUUUCAAAUCUUAGAUUUGGUGCGUCAGUUACUGUAGCAAACUAAAACUGGGCAGAUUUGUUUCAGUUUUGUAUUCUGUUUUUGCUUUCAUCUUGAUGUAGUUUUGAAGAACCAUGGAUGCAUCGUCCUCUCCCCAACCUUUGGCUGUGGGAGAGCCAUCAACAAAACUCACAUAUGCUCAGCAAAUCGAAACAAAAACGGAUCUCAUACAUCGCACAUCUACAAAACUCAAACCGGUCCAGUUUAUUCAUGGUGAGCCUACUGUAAUUUUUACCAUAGAGGAACGACAACAAUUUG
rnacentral:lncRNA from 1 species